GUGGGGUUUUUUCUUCUCAAAGCGUUCUCUCUUGUCUUGAACACAAUCAUAAUAAGUUAUCUGUGUGUAUGUAGUAAUGUAGCUGUGUGUAUGUAGUAAUGUAGCUGUGUGUAUGUAGUAAUGUAGCUGUGUGUAUGUAGUAAUGUAGCUGUGUGUAUGUAGUAAUGUAGCUGUUUGUAUGUAGUAAUGUAGCUGUGUGUAUGUAGUACUGUAUCUGUGUGUAUGUAGUAAUGUAAUGUAGCUGUGUGUAUGUAGUAAUGUAAUGUAGCUGUGUGUAUGUAGUAAUGUAGCUGUGUGUAUGUAGUAAUGUAAUGUAGCUGUGUGUAUGUAGUAAUGUAAUGUAGCUGUGUGUAUGUAGUAAUGUAGCUGUGUGUAUGUAGUAAUGUAAUGUAGCUGUGUGUAUGUAGUAAUGUAAUGUAGCUGUGUGUAUGUAGUAAUGUAGCUGUGUGUAUGUAGUAAUGUAGCUGUGUGUAUGUAGUAAUGUAAUGUAGCUGUGUGUAUGUAGUAAUGUAAUGUAGCUCUGUGUAUGUAGUAAUAUAAUGUAGCUGUGUGUAAUGUAGCUGUGUGUAAUGUAGCUGUGUGUAUGUAGUAAUGUAAUGUAGCUGUGUGUAUGUAGUAAUGUAAUGUAGCUGUGUGUAUGUAGUAAUAUAAUGUAGCUGUGUGUAUGUAGUAAUGUAAUGUAGCUGUGUGUAUGUAGUAAUAUAAUGUAGCUGUGUGUAUGUAGUAAUGUAAUGU
ensembl:lncRNA